rnacentral:snRNA from 1 species
ACGGGCCGGCUCAACCCGC